rnacentral:rRNA from 2 species
UAAGCCAUGCAUGUGUAAGUAUAAGCAAAUAUAUACUGUGAAACUGCGAAUGGCUCAUUAAAUCAGUUAUCGUUUAUUUGAUGGUAUCUUACUACUUGGAUAACCGUGGUAAUUCUAGAGCUAAUACAUGCUAAAAACUCCGACUUACGAAGGAGUGUAUUUAUUAGAUAUUAAACCAAUAUUCUUCGGAAUUUCUGGUGAUUCAUAAUAACUUUUCGCAGCGCAUAGCAUUAAGCUGGUGCGAGAUCAUUCAAAUACCUGCCCUAUCAAGUUUCGAUGUGAGGGUAGUGUCCUCACAUGCUUUUGACGGGUAACGGGGAAUUAGGGUUCGACUCCGGAGAGGGAGCCUGAGAAACGGCUACCACAUCCAAGGAAGGCAGCAGGCGCGCAAAUUACCCAAUCCCAACAUGGGGAGGUAGUGACAAGAAAUACUGAUAUAGGGUCCUAUAGGAUCUUGUAAUUGGAAUGAGUACAAUUUAAACCCAUUA